GAUCCGGUGGCGGACGACUGCAUCUGCCUGUAGUGUCGAAACAACUGCCAAAUGCAAGCAGAAGGUCCCCCCGUUCGACUCGGGGUCGGGUCA